AAGGAGGAGGCAGCCAGAGUGGCCACCACUGUUCUCUGCAGCAGAAGACCCCUUGCUGCCCUGCCAAACCCAGCAUUUGCCAGAGGUUCAAUAUUCUCCAUGUGCAAGCACUUGCUGCACCGAGGCACACCUAUGCAUCAAUGUAUAGCAAUGUGCCUAUACUAGAAGUUGCACACGUGUGCAUAGUCUUAUGAUGAAUUAUUCACUUCUACCGUCAGAGCCUGGAAUCUUGCAUCUCACCUGAUCUUUUUCUCUCCACCACCCCUGCUGCUGUUGCUGCCACCAGGGGGCUGUUAUAACUUUGAAUGCUGUUGCGAGGCGAGUUGUCCUCUGACUUGCAAUAUGUU